CGCACAUUGCGCCCACUGGUAUUCCGGUGGGCAUGCCUGUUCGAGCGUCAUUACAACCCUCAAGCUCUGCUUGGUAAUGGGUGACACCUAUGGUGCACCUUAAAAUUAGUGGCGGUGCCAUUAGGCUUCAAGCGUAGUAAUCUUCUCGCCUUGGAGCCUUAGUGGCUCACCUGCCAAAACCCCCAAUUUUAUCAAAAGGUUGACCUCGGAUCAGGUAGGGAUACCCGCUGAACUUAA
rnacentral:misc_RNA from 1 species